AACACAUUUCAAGACAUUAGUUGUGGCUGAGUUGUGAUUUUUCCGGAAGGGAAAUGGAUCGGAUUCUGCAGGGAGUGGUCUGUGCCUGUGGAGGGUGCGGCCAGCAAGGCUUUAACCAGGGAUUAUUUGGUUGCCAUCCAACAACCCUUCCCACGCAUGCAGAAAAUCACGCAUUAUGCGAGCCAAGCUGCGGUCCUCUUGCAGCAAAUGGAAGGAACCCCGCGUCUUCCUGCAGUCACCGCGCGUCUGCAGCGCCGGUAGGAGCAGAGGAUGAGGAGGAGGCGAGCACGAGCUCUGCCAUGAGAGGAUUCCAGCAAACCCGGCCUACCUGCUGCGGCGCCGCGGACGAACGACACGCCGAGACGGGUUCAGUGUAGAGAGCUGCGCUUGUCAUGACAGGGGGCUGAAAAAGGUGAUAAGCAUCAGCAAGCAAUCCUAGAAGAUGCAGCACAUCUCCUGUUUUUAUCGAAGCCACUUAAGGUUCACAAGGUCCUCCUUCACCGGGCUGUGUACCUUACAAAAGGACGAUGUCAGACUUACUCCAGAUGUUGAAUUAGACUACACGCUACCACAAAUAAGGAUCAUCAAAAGCAGGCAGAAACAGAAAAUUCCUAAAAUGGGCAUUCAAAUUGUUGGGCUGACUGCAGUGAAAAACCUCAUGUUACGUUGAACAUGGCACUAAGGCACUAAUAUUGCAUCCCAUGAGUCAUGGGGGGAAAAAAAAAAAAAAAAAAAAUUAAAAAGCUGUGUUCAGCAACUAUUUUCCAGUGAAUAUUCUGUCUCCCAGGCAGUCUCAUUUUGAUUUAGGAUUUAAAAAACCAAAUCAAUAAACCUGCCAAGGAGAGAUAGUAACUUUUCUUUUCCUCCGUAUCUUUAAAUUAGAUGGGUGAGACCAUUUUAUACAUUGGCCUCCACUGACUGCAGCAAUGCUGCAAAGUCACAGACAUUUCGUUUGGGCAGCCCUUCCCACAGCUCUGGCUCUUCCAGCUCUUUCCCCAACCACACUCCGUGGCAGAGAUUAAUUUCUACCCCAAGGAUAUACUCAACAUUGAGGCAG